rnacentral:rRNA from 1 species
CUGUGAGCUCGAUGAGUAGGGCGGGACACGUGGUAUCCUGUCUGAAUAUGGGGGGACCAUCCUCCAAGGCUAAAUACUCCUGACUGACCGAUAGUGAACCAGUACCGUGAGGGAAAGGCGAAAAGAACCCCGGCGAGGGGAGUGAAAAAGAACCUGAAACCGUGUACGUACAAGCAGUGGGAGCCUCUUAAUGGGGUGACUGCGUACCUUUUGUAUAAUGGGUCAGCGACUUAUAUUCUGUAGCAAGGUUAACCGAAUAGGGGAGCCGAAGGGAAACCGAGUCUUAACUGGGCGUUAAGUUGCAGGGUAUAGACCCGAAACCCGGUGAUCUAGCCAUGGGCAGGUUGAAGGUUGGGUAACACUAACUGGAGGACCGAACCGACUAAUGUUGAAAAAUUAGCGGAUGACUUGUGGCUGGGGGUGAAAGGCCAAUCAAACCGGGAGAUAGCUGGUUCUCCCCGAAAGCUAUUUAGGUAGCGCCUCGUGAAUUCAUCUCCGGGGGUAGAGCACUGUUUCGGCAAGGGGGUCAUCCCGACUUACCAACCCGAUGCAAACUGCGAAUACCGGAGAAUGUUAUCACGGGAGACACACGGCGGGUGCUAACGUCCGUCGUGAAGAGGGAAACAACCCAGACCGCCAGCUAAGGUCCCAAAGUCAUGGUUAAGUGGGAAACGAUGUGGGAAGGCCCAGACAGCCAGGAUGUUGGCUUAGAAGCAGCCAUCAUUUAAAGAAAGCGUAAUAGCUCACUGGUCGAGUCGGCCUGCGCGGAAGAUGUAACGGGGCUAAACCAUGCACCGAAGCUGCGGCAGCGACACUAUGUGUUGUUGGGUAGGGGAGCGUUCUGUAAGCCUGUGAAGGUGUACUGUGAGGUAUGCUGGAGGUAUCAGAAGUGCGAAUGCUGACAUAAGUAACGAUAAAGCGGGUGAAAAGCCCGCUCGCCGGAAGACCAAGGGUUCCUGUCCAACGUUAAUCGGGGCAGGGUGAGUCGACCCCUAAGGCGAGGCCGAAAGGCGUAGUCGAUGGGAAACAGGUUAAUAUUCCUGUACUUGGUGUUACUGCGAAGGGGGGACGGAGAAGGCUAUGUUGGCCGGGCGACGGUUGUCCCGGUUUAAGCGUGUAGGCUGGUUUUCCAGGCAAAUCCGGAAAAUCAAGGCUGAGGCGUGAUGACGAGGCACUACGGUGCUGAAGCAACAAAUGCCCUGCUUCCAGGAAAAGCCUCUAAGCAUCAGGUAACAUCAAAUCGUACCCCAAACCGACACAGGUGGUCAGGUAGAGAAUACCAAGGCGCUUGAGAGAACUCGGGUGAAGGAACUAGGCAAAAUGGUGCCGUAACUUCGGGAGAAGGCACGCUGAUAUGUAGGUGAAGUCCCUUGCGGAUGGAGCUGAAAUCAGUCGAAGAUACCAGCUGGCUGCAACUGUUUAUUAAAAACACAGCACUGUGCAAACACGAAAGUGGACGUAUACGGUGUGACGCCUGCCCGGUGCCGGAAGGUUAAUUGAUGGGGUUAGCGGUAACGCGAAGCUCUUGAUCGAAGCCCCGGUAAACGGCGGCCGUAACUAUAACGGUCCUAAGGUAGCGAAAUUCCUUGUCGGGUAAGUUCCGACCUGCACGAAUGGCGUAAUGAUGGCCAGGCUGUCUCCACCCGAGACUCAGUGAAAUUGAACUCGCUGUGAAGAUGCAGUGUACCCGCGGCAAGACGGAAAGACCCCGUGAACCUUUACUAUAGCUUGACACUGAACAUUGAGCCUUGAUGUGUAGGAUAGGUGGGAGGCUUUGAAGUGUGGACGCCAGUCUGCAUGGAGCCGGCCUUGAAAUACCACCCUUUAAUGUUUGAUGUUCUAACGUUGGCCCCUGAUCGGGGUUGCGGACAGUGUCUGGUGGGUAGUUUGACUGGGGCGGUCUCCUCCUAAAGAGUAACGGAGGAGCACGAAGGUUGGCUAAUCCUGGUCGGACAUCAGGAGGUUAGUGCAAUGGCAUAAGCCAGCUUGACUGCGAGCGUGACGGCGCGAGCAGGUGCGAAAGCAGGUCAUAGUGAUCCGGUGGUUCUGAAUGGAAGGGCCAUCGCUCAACGGAUAAAAGGUACUCCGGGGAUAACAGGCUGAUACCGCCCAAGAGUUCAUAUCGACGGCGGUGUUUGGCACCUCGAUGUCGGCUCAUCACAUCCUGGGGCUGAAGUAGGUCCCAAGGGUAUGGCUGUUCGCCAUUUAAAGUGGUACGCGAGCUGGGUUUAGAACGUCGUGAGACAGUUCGGUCCCUAUCUGCCGUGGGCGCUGGAGAACUGAGGGGGGCUGCUCCUAGUACGAGAGGACCGGAGUGGACGCAUCACUGGUGUUCGGGUUGUCAUGCCAAUGGCACUGCCCGGUAGCUAAAUGCGGAAGAGAUAAGUGCUGAAAGCAUCUAAGCACGAAACUUGCCCCGAGAUGAGUUCUCCCUGACUCUUUAAGGGUCCUGAAGGAACGUUGAAGACGACGACGUUGAUAGGCCGGGUGUGUAAGCGCAGCGAUGCGUUGAGCUAACCGGUACUAAUGAACCGUGAGGCUUAACCUU